ACCUGGCUGGCUCAGUCAGUAGAGCAUGAGACCUUGAUCUCAGGGUUGUGAGUUUGAGCCCCAUGUUAGGUG
rnacentral:tRNA from 1 species